GCCUGAUGCAGCAACGCCGCGUGAGGGAUGACGGCCUUCGGGUUGUAAACCUCUUUUAGCAGGGAAGAAGCGAAAGUGACGGUACCUGCAGAAAAAGCACCGGCUAACUACGUGCCAGCAGCCGCGGUAAUACGUAGGGUGCAAGCGUUAUCCGGAAUUAUUGGGCGUAAAGAGCUCGUAGGCGGUUUGUCGCGUCUGCUGUGAAAUUCCGAGGCUCAACCUCGGGCUUGCAGUGGGUACGGGCAGACUAGAGUGCGGUAGGGGAGAUUGGAAUUCCUGGUGUAGCGGUGGAAUGCGCAGAUAUCAGGAGGAACACCGAUGGCGAAGGCAGAUCUCUGGGCCGUAACUGACGCUGAGGAGCGAAAGGGUGGGGAGCAAACAGGCUUAGAUACCCUGGUAGUCCACCCCGUAAACGUUGGGAACUAGUUGUGGGGUCCUUUCCACGGAUUCCGUGACGCAGCUAACGCAUUAAGUUCCCCGCCUGGGGAGUACGGCCGCAAGGCUAAAACUCAAAGGAAUUGACGGGGACCCGCACAAGCGGCGGAGCAUGCGGAUUAAUUCGAUGCAACGCGAAGAACCUUACCAAGGCUUGACAUACACGAGAACGGGCCAGAAAUGGUCAACUCUUUGGACACUC
rnacentral:rRNA from 1 species